CCUAUACGCAAUUUUGGACAUUUCCCCAGAGCUCUGUAUCCUCUAUGUACCUAAAACUGGCUUAGCUAUUGUUUAUUUUGUCCUUUCCAGAUAUAAUGAACCCUCAAAAGGAGCUUAUAUUCUAAUGUAUAAACAGGUUUUGGAGUAAUUAAGAAGGCAAGAGAUGUGAGAAGAAAGCUCUCUUUACUUUCUGUAAAAGUGGAAGAUAUCAGAAGAAAUGGCUUUCUAAACUUGAGAGAGAAAAGGAUACUGGGAGAAAUCUAAGUGAGGUUAAAACAAAAACAAAAAAAGAAGAAGAAAAGGAAAAGAAAAAGAAUGGCUGGAACAAUAAGAUUCACUCUUGGCAGGAACUGAAGAUCAUUCCACUUUAUAUGAUCUAGCUAAUAGUAAUAAACACAGCUGAAUUCUGGUGAUGGACAGAGAGGACUC